UACAGAGGGUGCAAGCGUUGUUCGGAAUUAUUGGGCGUAAAGCGUGCGCAGGCGGUUGUGCAAGACAGAUGUGAAAUGCCCGGGCUUAACCUGGGAACUGCAUUUGUGACUGCAUGGCUAGAGUUUGGCAGAGGGGGGUAGAAUUCCACGUGUAGCAGUGAAAUGCGUAGAUAUGUGGAGGAACACCGAUGGCGAAGGCAGCCCCCUGGGUCAAGACUGACGCUCAUGCACGAAAGCGUGGGGAGCAAACAGG
rnacentral:rRNA from 1 species